rnacentral:misc_RNA from 1 species
GAUGAAGAACGUAGCGAAAUGCGAUAAGUAAUGUGAAUUGCAGAAUUCAGUGAAUCAUCGAAUCUUUGAACGCACAUUGCGCCCCCUGGUAUUCCGGGGGGCAUGCCUGUCCGAGCGUCAUUACAACCCUCAAGCUCAGCUUGGUGUUGGGCCCCGCCGCCCCGGCGGGCCCUAAAGUCAGUGGCGGUGCCGUCCGGCUCCGAGCGUAGUAAUUCUUCUCGCUCUGGAGGCCCGGUCGUGUGCUCGCCAGCAACCCCCAAUUUUUUUCAGGUUGACCUCGGAUUAGGUAGGGAUACCCGCUGAACUUAAGCAUAUCAAUAAGCGGAGGA